AUCUGGGCGGCGGAAUUCAGGACGGCUGGCGGGUCUCGCGCUCGUUCGGCCGUUUGAUAUUUCCGUCGCCGUGUCAGACGUCGCGACCUGUUUGUCGUCGGUCCUUGCUCGGAGGAAUCGCGAUCGAGUUCGUUGCGGGCGCGUUUCGGCGUGUCUCGCGGCGAAGACGCGACUCUCUGGCUGACGACGGACAGUAAGCAACGGUGUCCGACGCCGUGUCUCGCACUCGGCGUCGGUGCCGGUCAGCGACGAUUUCUUCGGGCCUCUUUCCGACCCGUCUUGAAACACGGACCAAGGAGUCUAACAUGCGCGCGAGUCGCGGGGUUUCGAGCGUGCCACGGUGCGCUCGUUACUUCCGAAACCCGUACGUUGAAGGCGUAAUGAAAGUGAAUAGGGAAGAUGGCGUUCCGAGUCCACGUACCGUGAUCGAGUAUCGCGGCCGGACGUCCGCACUCCCGGGGCGUCUCAAUGGUUCGCCGCGGAUGCGGACGAUCGUCUUUCGGGGCGGUCGUCGGUCUGCGGCGGUCCGA
rnacentral:rRNA from 1 species